rnacentral:misc_RNA from 1 species
GAUGAAGAACGUAGCGAAAUGCGAUACGUAAUGUGAAUUGCAGAAUUCAGUGAAUCAUCGAGUCUUUGAACGCACAUUGCGCCCGCCAGCACUCUGGCGGGCAUGCCUGUCCGAGCGUCAUUUACCACCCUCGGGCCCCCUUGGGGGCCCGGUGCUGGGGGCACGGCCCAGGCCGCCCCCGAAAUGCAGUGGCGACCCCGCCGCGUCCUCCCCUGCGCAGUAGCACAAUCUCGCACCGGAAGCGCGGAGGCGGUCACGCCUGGAAACGCCCCAACUCAACGCAGUUGACCUCGGAUCAGGUAGGAGUACCCGCUGAACUUAAGCAUAUCAAUAAGCGGAGGA